UGGGUGAAAGAACAAUCCUGGUGCCAUGCAGACCUCAUCAACCGCUGACACAUCGCAGUUGGCAUCAGUGAGUACUACCACCUCAGGAACCUCACCAGAUGAACUUCCUGAGGAAGCUGUAUCAGAAGAAAACCUGUCUUCUGGACCUGCAGUGCAUGAGACUUUGUUACAGUGAGGGUUCGUAUGUAUCAUGCAAGGAAGAACAGAUCUGAUGCAUUGUUCAUUGCCCAAGUAAUUAGUCCCCUUUUAUGAAAAAUAUCAGACCAAUUUUACAUUAAUGUCAAGACAUGUAAAGAUGGAAAUGAUUUAAUAAAUAAAAUAUCAUGGAAACAAUCCAGCAAGUUUUGUUAAUGAAUUUAUUUAUAUCUUAAUUUCAAUAGCUUAAAAAUAGUCAAACUUCCAAAUAUUAUUUCUCUAAAAUAACUAAAGGUAGCCUUUGUGGAAGGUGGAAAUGUGUGCCUUCAGUACAUGAAGAGACAAUCUGGUGACCUGUACUUCUCGCCCGAUGGUGAGGCACAAUUCUACCUCCAUCCAAUUUGUGACAUUGACAGAAUCUCUCCCAACCUGCAACAGUUGUAAUUGGGUCACGGGUCUUCUUGAAGUUCAUAAACUGAGUUGUAACCUGCAUGCAGAGAGAAAUAUUGCAUGUUAAUUCUCAGUCAGGUUUAGAGUAAGACUUUUUAUUGCAUUUACCAGUAAGAAGUUUGCCAAAGAGUUUUUUCAACCACAGGAAAAGUUGCAGUUUUAUUUUUGAACAUUUAUUAGAAUAGCUUUAUAGUACAUGUCUUGCUUACAACUGCUACAUUGAGCAUCUU